rnacentral:rRNA from 1 species
GAUGAACGCUGGCGGCGUGCUUAACACAUGCAAGUCGAACGAUGAAGCCCAGCUUGCUGGGUGGAUUAGUGGCGAACGGGUGAGUAACACGUGAGUAACCUGCCCUUAACUCUGGGAUAAGCCUGGGAAACUGGGUCUAAUACCGGAUAGGAGCGUCCACCGCAUGGUGGGUGUUGGAAAGAUUUAUCGGUUUUGGAUGGACUCGCGGCCUAUCAGCUGGUUGGUGAGGUAAUGGCUCACCAAGGCGACGACGGGUAGCCGGCCUGAGAGGGUGACCGGCCACACUGGGACUGAGACGCGGCCCAGAGUCCUACGGGAGGCAGCAGUGGGGAAUAUUGCACAAUGGGCGCAAGCCUGAUGCAGCGACGCCGCGUGAGGGAUGACGGCCUUCGGGUUGUAAACCUCUUUCAGUAGGGAAGAAGCGAAAGUGACGGUACCUGCAGAAGAAGCACCGGCUAACUACGUGCCAGCAGCCGCGGUAAGAC